rnacentral:lncRNA from 1 species
GGAGGCAAAAGAAGGAGAGAGAGAGAGAGAGAGAGAGAGAGAGAGAGAAACGCAGAGGGAGGGAGGCAGGGAGACCAAACCCCCGCUUUACUGCGUUGAAAGCUCCUGAAUUUCAAGCAGAAAGUAGAAGGAGCAUCACACGGCAAUGGGCGUCUUUCCUUGGGCUGCGUGUGCAGAGCGUAGACAAUGAAAAUCUCCAUCCCCCUCCCCCAUCCCCGCUAGACUACAAGAUUUUUCUUUUCGUUCCUUAUCAACGGUGGAAGAUGUGCAAAAUCAAAUACACAGAGCUGUGCAUUUAUUUUUAAAAUAAAUAAAGCAAACGGGCUGAGACGCGGAUUACCCAAACGCGCACCGGCUGGGCGCGUUGCGGGGUCUCUGCGUUAGACCGGUUCUCAGCGGUUUCUGCAGCCACAGCCUGGCUCUACGCCUCCCCCCGGGCCGCGGGGGCGGAGAAUCCUCCCUUCCUCGGACACUGGAGCCGGAGCGGACCUUGCCCUCCCGCGGACCGCGCGGUAGGGGACGCCGAGAAAAGAGCCCCUGCGCCCGCCGCCUCCGGCCCGCCGCGCAGAGGGCUCCGCCCGUAGAGGUCAACUCCCCUCACCCUUUCGGCUCUCCUGAUCGCCCUCCCUCCGCCCGGCCCAGGCUCCGCCAGCCUCCCGACUCGGGCCGCAGUCUGAGGAGUGCGCCUCCGCUGCGCUGCUCUGAACCUUAACCCCGAGCCGGGCCCAGACCCGAGGUCCGCGCACCCCGGCGGUGGGGAAGCCUUAGCGAGCAGCCUUUUCUCUGCAGCAAAGCUGUAGGAAGACCAGAUGGGCCGCGCAGCUCUCUCGGGACUAGGCAGGACUGGACUGUUUCUAAGCAUCUUUAUUGUUUCCCUAGCUUCAUACCCUAACAUCUGUCAGUAUCUAUAGGUUCUGUAUAACUGCCUCUUCUUGGACAUCUUAGGAGGAGGACUGUCUGGAUCAGUGAUGAAGAUAGGAAAAUACAUGUAUAAUAAUUCUAUAUUGCCUAAAUAUUUUCACUAGUCAUUUCUAAGUUAAAAUUUUCUGUAUACAAAAUUAAAUAUAUAUAGAUGUAUGCAUUCAAAAAAUACAUAUUUAUAAUGUCUCAGUAAACUUUUAGUCCCCUUCCUGAAGCUGUAAGUUAGAGGCAUCUUUUACAAAGAAGAAUGUGACUGGCUGGACCUCAACAACCUCUGUGUUGCAGACUCUACUUCCUUUUCCUUGAAAAGCUCCAGAAAAACCCUCUGUCCUGGAGAGACCAGUCCUGAUUCUCCCUUAACUGAGAACAGCUUUACUGGCAGAGGUGUCUCAUCACAUGGUCUCUCUCUGUAUUCCCUAAUUUGAGUGGAAUGUUGAGUGCAUGAACAGUACCCCUGUACUUAUAGGAACCAGAGGAAAAUAAGAAUGAUAGUAAGAUGAAAUUAACCACCAUCCACUUUAUUCAAUCCAUUCAGCAGCACAUAAGCACCAGGAUUAUAGCAAUUGGCAUAUUAGAGAGUAUUCUGAAAAGUUGUCAGGAGGUACUGUGUAACAGAGCUUUCUUUUCUGCUCUUCUCAUCAUAUUGAUUAUGUUUCACGUCAUAAAACAAAUCCCCAAACUCUGCCCAGAGGCUGCCUGCUAUGCUAAUGGAGAGGAUGCCAGGCAAAGAUGCUGAGGGUGCAGAUGUCUCUCUGCUGGGCUUUGCACAUGACACUGGAUGGCCCUUAAAUGAGGUUAGUUAAUUGGCAAAGGGCAGAGAAGAGGCCAUCAUUUCUUGAGUACUUGCCUCUAUGCUGGGAGCUGUACCAGGGGCUAAAAGUUUGCUGUGGCUGGAGAGACUGAGGACUUGGCAUUCUGCAUUGGAGGAAGAAACACAGAAAUAGAAAAAAGAGAGCUCACCUGAGAAAGACGAGGAAGAGAAGCUACCAACAACACUACCAACAACAAUCUAACAAAGUUCAAAAAUGGCAUUCCUUCUGCCAAAUCUCAUUCUUCUUGGAGCUUAACCAACCCUUGCCUGCUUGGCUUGCCUUGGAUUCCAUACUUCCAAAACCCCUCGGUAAAGCCACCCCAUCAGUCACUUCUACUUAAAAUGCCUCAUCCUUGUGGUUCAUAAGAGUGCCCCCAUGGCUAUGUUCUAGAUUAUUCUAUAGCAAUCUUGAUAACUCUAUUGUGAUAGCAAUCUUAAAUUUAAUUUUAUAUCCAGUCAUCCUAGAUUUCUGAAGUUUUUGGUGCCACCUUCUGAGAGGCCAUCUAGAAGUUAGGGUUCAGAUAAGUGCCUAAUGCUUUGGUUUUUUUUAAUGUGUUCCUUUUAUUUUUUUAUUUUUAAAACGUGUUCCUUUUAAACAAGUGGCAAAAUAGCUUUUGCAUAUUCUCUUAAGAUAAGAAAGAUGUCUUAGUUUCCUAGUUUUUAUGGGGAGGUGAUUUUACAAAUAAAACAUGCUAUGUCUUUGUAUCUAUUAAAAAAAAAGUUUCCCCUUUCCUUGACUUAAUCUCGGCUUCUCAAGAGUGACUCUACUGACCCUUGGACUGGAUAUUGCUUCGUUGCCAUUGGGAAGAGAGGCUCCAUCCGAUGCCUUGUAGGACACUCAGCAGAAUCCCAUACCUAGUAUAUUGUAGUUGUUUGAUAAAUGUUAAAUUGAGUGAAUUCUAAUAAAUGAAAUAAUGCUAUGAAGCAUUUGUCACAUACUAAGUGUAUAAUAAAUAUUAGGUAUGGUGAUGGGUACCUGAAGUUCGCAGGCAUGCAAAAUUAUCAACUGUCAACUUAUGCACACUUAUAUGCGUCAAAUAAAAGCAAUGUAGAGUGCAGUUCUGGUAUUAACCAGAUUACUGGUGGCACUUUUAGCUAA